rnacentral:rRNA from 1 species
UACAGAGGGUGCGAGCGUUGUUCGGAAUUACUGGGCGUAAAGCGCGCGCAGGCGGCUUCCUAAGUCCGUCGGUGAAAGACCGGGGCUCAACCCCGUGUCAGCCAUGGAUACUGGGAGGCUGGAGACAGGUAGAGGCAAGCGGAAUUCCGGGUGUAGCGGUGGAAUGCGUAGAUAUCAGGAGGAACACCAAUAGCGAAGGCAGCUCGCUGGGACGGUACUGACGCUAAGGCGCGAAAGCGUGGGGAGCGAACAGG